UUUCGUGCCCGCUUCUGAGAAUUCUACUAUUGGAUGGGUCGUGUCGUAUCAUUUUCUAUAUAUUCUUAGUCUAAUUACGCAGUGAUUGUGCAAGUAUAACGCCAAAAUGCCUUUCUACGGUGGCCGGGGCCCCCCUGAUAUCAAGGGCAUGUCCUCUUUGAAAGUGGACAAUCUUACAUACAGAACAACUCCUGAAGAUCUGCGACGCUGUUUCGAGAAAUAUGGCGACAUCGGUGAUAUUUAUAUUCCUCGCGACAGAUUCUCUCGGGAGAGCCGAGGGUUCGCAUUUGUUCGAUUUUAUGAUCAGCGUGACGCUGAAGAUGCAAUGGAAGCUCUGGACGGACGUCGUCUUGAUGGGCGCGAGCUGAGGGUGCAGAUGGCGCGAUACGGGCGUCCUGAAACGCCCCCCAACAGGCGACGCAGAAGGAGCCGCUCCAUUUCGCGCUCUCGUUCGCGAAGCCGCUCGUCAUCGAGGCGCCAUUACCGCCGUUCACGCACUCGCUCCCGGUCCAGAUCUCGCUCACGUUCUCGCAGGAGGCAUUACACCAGGUCGCGAUCGAACUCUCGCUCCCGCAGCGGCAGCAAGAGCAGGUCACGCUCUCGUUCAUGCGACCGCCGACGCGACGACGGAAGCAAAAGCCCUGAGCAGGAUCCCCCUACGCACCAACAUGAUGCUGAGGAGCGCCCGGUCCAAGACAGCAAUGGGCAGCAUCGUGAAGACUCGGCUGAGAAGGAUGCCGCUCCUUCUGGCGCUAGUGCCAGCAACGACCGAAGGAGCCGAUCACGUUCGCGCUCCAGGUCUCGAUCGCGCUCACGUUCUCGCUCUGGCUCCAGGUCCCCGUAGAGGAAGCUGGCAACUUAGGACUUGGAGUAUUGUUGGAAGCAGCGAGGAAGCUGUAACUGCUUGCUCAAUCUCAGCAGCUGAUGCAAUGGGUUGAAGCAGUGGCGAAGCUUGAUUUUUGCCCAAAGCACUGCUGGCGUUGCAGUGCUGUUGGUGAGGAGCACCGCACGAGUUGCUGUUGCUUGCUGUCAUUGCUGUGCUGAGGUUGAUAGCUGAGGCUCAACCGCCAUGACAAACUUUCUUCACUGACGCGACUGACGAAAAAACUCCUUUCCACUCUCCUCUCUUAUGACUUUCAAAUAGCAACGAGUUUCAGAACCUUAUUGAGUUGAAAUUUCUGCAAUGCUUUUCUGUGCUGAUGCCCUUGAAUCAGGGUUUCUUUUUUUCUUGAGCCUGAUUUCUGAAGGUUCGAUUGUUGGGUAUCAUCUACUGCUUUAUUCAAAAACUGCUUUUUGCUGGUGUUCUAUUUACAUACCGGAACAACAUGAAACCACCAUUACAUCUAAAUUCUUCAAAUAUUGCUGCUGAUUAUCUUCAGCGCAAUCGUGACUACUACUGACUGAUGAUCGUCCAGAAUCUUGACCUGCGUUAUCCGUGGACGUGUAAAUUUGGAUGAAGAUUUAGCGGAGCAUGCGGGAGUAUUUGCUGGCGUUUGGAGUUGGGGCAGUUUGAGGGGAGGAGCUGAGACAGCUGAUCGAGUGCAGAGCAGUGCUGAUGCGGCACUGCUAUAUCGGUACGACCAUUUAUUUCACGUAUCAAAAUUAUGAUAAAUUUGUGAACAUGACACCUUUAAAUGUCAUCUUUAUUUCUCCUUUUCUAAAAAUUGACACGUUGAACUUGUCGUCUCUCAUGUGAACUUACUGGUAUCAGGUUGAGAUAAGACUAAAUAAAUUAUUUAAAAUAUCAACCUCAUUCCUCAUUUACAAUCAUUUCAAAUGGUUCUAACUAAAUUUGUAAUUUGCUUCCAUGUUGGAGAGGAGAGGAGGUGUAGCAGAGGUGAUGUUGGUGAAUUGCUGCGCUUGCUGAGGAUGCUGACGCACUUACGUAAGUGACACUUGUUACGUACUCGUACCGCGAGUUACUUACGCCGAAUGUUGCGCAUUAAAAAAUCAGAAUGUGACAACCAUCAGUCAAUGGUCAUUUUCUAUGUCCGGGAAAGAGUUGAUCAGUUCAUGCGAUAAAUACGUGAGUAAAUUAUGAAAGGAUUUAUCGCACUUCUUUUGAAGCGACUAGGUUUGGGUUCAUUUUUGGUCGCAUGUUCAAUCUAAACUUGAAAUAACCUAUUCCUCCACAGGUAAUAUUCAUUGAAUAAAAAUCGUUGCUU
rnacentral:misc_RNA from 1 species